CUACAUAUGUACACCUUUUGCCAUUUUGCGACCAACUAGCCCCACUUUGAGCCUUCCGACCCCUAUUGAUACGCCAUGUUGAACCAAUGUUUACUCGACUUGGCCCUGGCGAUGGAUCUAGCCUACUCCGUCAGAGUUCUCCCUCGUUGUUCCUACAGCCAAUUUCGCUGUAGUACUAAUGUGAUCUGAACUACAGUUCAGUUAACCGCGUUCCAUUUUCCUUCGUCACUGCAUAUUCGUUCGACAAUAUUGUAUACGUUAUUGUCAGUUCCAACAGAUGCAGCCAUUUAACUUUGUGGUUGCACAAGCCUUGAACAAUUAAACAAUACAUGCUCCGGUGUUUCUUCAAUGCCCCGGCAAUCAGAACACAUCGGCGACCUUGUAUGGCCGAAUCUGCGAAAGUACUGCCUCAAGCAGCCAUCACCAGACAGAAAUUUCGUAAUUUGGAAAUUAACCUCUCCGUGUGCUCGACAGAUUGGGAAUGAGACGAUGGGUUCAUCUGCUGUUCACUGCGUUUUUCGGCUACUGCUGCCGUUUGAGUAGUGUGCUGGCUCGCUUUCUUUUCCGAACUCCUCUUGCGUCUCGGUCUCUUGUAGCUCGCGCUAUUCUCUUCCAGUAGCAGACAGAUAAGAAUCAUCUCGGCUAACACGCACACUAAAUCUGACGAAACAAUUUGAUAUGAACUCGACAAGCGCAUUGCCAUCAGCCUAAACGUACGAUUCAGCUGGGCUAGAUUUCUUCCAGUCUUCAAUACCGCCAACCACAUUGGGCCUGCGCACCGAAUGAUUGCCGACGAUACCCUCGCUAGUAACCGCCUCUUGCUGCUGCUGUUGCUUAUCGCAGAGUUGUUGGGCAUGAUCCGGGAUAGUGCUGAACUGCUGAGAUCACUGCCGCAGUACCGCAUGCCGUGAUCUUCUUGCAGACGUAGUCGACAUGAUUGUCAGUCAAAGUUCAGUCGAUAGUUCAACAUCACCCCACUUCGCAUUUUGAGUAAAUAAUACACUCGCCUCGCCGACCAUGAUUCUUGCACGCUGUACUGUCUUCCGGUGACUGCACCCAUGCAGUUUUCCACAGCGUCUAUCGCAUCCAUUCCUGCGGAACGACCGCUGGUGUCUAUAUCGUAAAUAAGUGUCUGAUUUUGAAAAUAGCAUUUCAGGAUCUGGCACAGACACUCAGACAUCCUCAACAUGUGUAACGAAUCGGCAAUUGCUAUCCAGCUGGCAUUUUUUACAUCCAGGCCAAUAUGCUGAUGGGUCUCCGGGAGGUUUACCUGGCUUCGGUAACAGCACUAACUUCUUCCGCAUCGGAUUUACGUCGAUAGCUGUUCUUAGGGCCCCGUUAAGCAUUUCGUUCGGGCCUGAGGCACUCUCGGUUGGAAAGGCCUUUGCUACUGCGGUCAACACUUCGUUACCUUGCCUUACCGGUCAGACUAAGGCCUGAUUGACCUCUGCUGUACAUAGGGUCGUCUCCAUUCUGCUCGGUCCAGUUCCGCACUCUACGAAGGGUUCGCAGAUUGUCCUCCACUUGAUCGACCCACCUAGCUCGCUGCGCACAACGUUUUCUUGUACCGGUCGGAUGACUAUCCGGGUUGCUAUCCGACAUCCUAAUGACGUGACCCGCCCACCGUAGCCUCCCGAUUUUCGCGGUGUGGACGAUGGUUAAUUCUCUCAGCAGCUGAUGCAGUUCGUGGUUCAUUCGCCUUCUCCAAUUUCCGUCUUCCAUCUGCACUCUGCCGUAGAUAGUACGCAACACCUUCCGUUCGAAAGCUUCAAGGGCGCUUUGGUCCUCAAACGAUCAGAUAUUCUCCUUCAUCCGACGUUUCGAAGUGUAUUACAACUUCUUCAGGGAAUAAGAAGUGUUAAUCGCUUUCGUUUUAAAAGGCUUUGUGGAAGCAUAACCCGUCCGAAAAACUGUUUAAAAAACGUUGGAAUCGACUUUUUGAACACUAGUUAUAUUUUUGCCGAAUUCGGUUCGCACUUCUAAAAACACUACUACAUAUAAAGAUUCCGUUGAUUUUAACAAUCACAAAACCUUCAUCUGCACAGUACAAAACUUCCUUAACGGGAUAUUACUGUUGAUCAUUUCUGAAAUCCAGUUUUCAUUUCCGGUUUGGAGUCGGUAUGGCUUCGAAAUGAUAGCAACAUCGCACUUUUGUUCUACAACGGCUUGCCGCAGCAAAAACUGUGCUGUUUGAGGUUUAUUUGAAUUACCUCCAAUGGGACUUUGUUGCACUCGCUUCGGCCAUUUGUCGGGUGAUUACUAUAUUCUCCGCAUUAGCGUAGAUCAGACUUCUUGGGAACUCCCUGCAGCCUUGAGCCUUGUGACCAAUUUCGUGCCACGUGGCCGUAUUAAUUCUAGACAUUUGUAGCACACUUCCGGUUGCUGAGAGAUACUCAGCGAGCACACGGGGCACACAGACUGCCUACUUCGAUCUUACCAACUCUUAGUGUCUCGUUGUUUACUCGGUAGUUUAAUCGAUGUCACCUGCGUGCCAGAAGGCCCGUUUUUUAUACCGAUGGCCAUCUGGACUUCUCUUAGCUCACACUGCUCAUUCAUGAAUAAACCUACUUCUUCCUCCGAUGUGACCCAAGUUUUUGCAUUGGAGUGUCGCUUUCUCGGUUAGUUCUUUGUAGAAUAAGCUGCUGGCUUUUGGAUCUCUUUUUAACUCCAGGAUCAUUUCCCUAUUACGGAUGCGUCUGAUUUUCUUCACGUCCGUCUGGAUUCGUUCGAUGGUACUUAGAACUUUUGUAUACGUUCGUUGCUUGCUUAAACGAUAAGAACUUCACCUUUCUUUCUCCUCCUGAUAAAUUUACGAUUUUCGGAUCUGCUUUUACUGCGCGAUUACCCUUUUCGUUUGCCGACAGCUUGCCGUAACCACACUUCUAUACUAGACGGAAAUGUCUUUCCAUUUUGCUGCCAGAAAGAGAAAACGUUACAGAAAUGAUCAGCAUCGUUCCUUUCCUUGCAGACAGGGACAGAACUUGGCACAUCUGUCCGGGAAAAAGGCAAGACAUUUCUGUCUGGUAAAGACGCCUGCUGCGAUGACAUUCUCCGCUGGCGAGCGUGCACCUUUACCGGGGGCGUCCUUGUGUUUCUUGGAGCCGCCGUGUCGAACAUCUUCUGGCGAAACCCUUGGCCUCUUCGGCGUGAAGAAGGGUGUAGUUGUCACCCUCUGGGGAAUACUCCCAACAACACUGACUUCCUCUGUAGUUGCAAUGAAACAAUUUCAAAGAUCGUAACUUGAGCAACACAUUCGCCGAAACACCAUUGAAAUAAAUCCGACAUUAUCGACAUCAGGAGCUAUCGUGGCGCUAACAUCGACUCUAACCACUACCUGGUGAUGGUCAAACUGCGCCUAAAACUCUUCGUAAUCAACGAUGCACUGUACCGACGGCCGUUACGAUAUAAGCUAGAGCGACUGACACAACCGGACGUUGCCUCAGCAUACACGCAUAAUCUCGAGGCAGCGUUGCGAGACGAGGGUGAGCUCGAUGUGGUCCCUAGAGGGCUGCUGGAAUACAGUAAAAGCAGCCAUCAACGACGCAGCUGAGAAAACCUUUGGGAACAUGAAACGAAGUCGACGAAACGAAGAGUUCGACGAGGAAUGCAACGCGGUUUUGGUGUAGAAAAACGUUGCACUUACGGUAAUGCUUCAGCAUGGAACCUGGCAGAACGUGGAACGUUAUAAAUAAGAGCGGGAACAUAAGCCUGCGUCUUGUGGGAGAAAAAGCGUAGAUUGCGAGAAAAUGGAACAGCUGUGCUGUUCCCAAGUAACAUGGAAGUUCAACCAGAAGCUCAACGCUUCCCGCAACGGCAACACACGGCGUGUGUAUGGGAAAGGUUUAUAACAAAAAAAUAGGCAUCGUCAAAUUUUUCGCUAUUCAAAAAUAGAGGCUUUCAGCUUUCAUUUGCACGGUCCCUCAAAAAAAUCCACCGAGGGAUCUCGAACAACUUUUUCAGAAUACUGUAUUUCCCCAUACAAAAUGAACGGUUCCAAAUUAAUCCCUAUUUCUACUUAACAAACAUACCCAAUUUUUGUAUGAAAAAGUUCCCCCGAUGGAAUAUUUCGAUGUUGGGCUUGAAUGAAAGCUAGAAGCGUCAACUUUCACGUAACGUAAAAAUUAGCGAUGCCUAUUUUUUUGUAAUAAAUUUCUUCUACCAGACACACCGUGCAACAGUGCGAGCUUAAAUGUGCCGGGAAAACGAGCACAUUUCUACUACAACCUAGGGGCAAGACAGAUACAGCGAGAGUAACUCUGUUAUCGCAGUGUUGCUCAGAAUUCCUCUGGCUAGCUCUGGAUCACUCUGGUUGUUCUGGCAGCACUGCAUGAGUGCCGGUUGCCACAAGAUAUGAGUUCGGCCGAUGAGGCAUUGGUAAGUGUCGUUUGACAGGUGUCAGAGUGACAGCAGAGAUGACAUGAGAAGGAGAGAGAGACAGAUAGCUGUCAAAGGUAGAAAGUAAAUAAAAACAAAAGAAAGGAAGAAAUUGAAUUAGAUUGAAGGUGCCAUUGCGAUUGUUGAUAGGCAAAAUAAAGUUAGAAUAGAUUAACAGUUCGGAAGUUUGGUGAUUAAAAAGGAAGUUGAAAUUCGGUUGAAAUAGAGAAAGGUGCGCGAGUGAUUAGUAGACGAGAAACGAAUCAGGUUUGGUCAGACGAUCACAAGCACAUAUAGUAAGUAGCAAAACUUAUGUACAAUUAGAUUGAAUAGUAAGGAAACUUGUAAUAAUCCGUAGUGUUCUCCGAGCCACGGGAAUAAAUUGAGGGAUUUGACAAGAUAGAGACCCGACGGGACAAUACAUACUGGACAGCAGACUGAGAAAACAGGUAAAUUACUUGAAAGAGUUGAAUGAAGUGAAAGUAAAUACAAGAUUGAUAACAGAUAUCGGAUACGCACGACGAGGACGAGACCGUCUACACAGUGGUCCAAACUGAAUUUAUUAAGGACAAAAUUUGUAAGUUUAAUUUUCGUAUAUUUGAUAUUGAUAUGGACAAAAAUAUAAAUGUAACAUUUCAAUAGGUGAUUGCGUCGCCUAAAAAGGAAGGUAGAAGAGAAGCCGUUAGAGGAAGAAAGACAAACUAAAAUUGUAAGUGUAUUUAUGCGAGUAAGAAAUGCUAAAUUGUAAGAUUUCACGAAACAUUAAAUUUUAUUACUUACAGUUUGAUCUGCCAUAACGUAAAACGGCUGAUUUUCAAAAACGGUUUGUUGAUCCGAAAUUCCGACCCGAACAAAAUCAAAAAUUUUAAAUCGGAUUCUUCGGAAUGGCUUCCUCACCCUCCAAGACCGAGCAAUGUUUGUUCUGCUCGAUGUCGGAGUCGAUGUCUGAGGACGUAAACUGGGUCCAAUGUGGGAAGUGUCAACACUGGGCACAUUUUUCUUGCGCUGGUGUUGAUCAAGGGGUUGUCAACAGUGAUUGGCGGUGCCCACAGUGUCUCCCAAGUAGUGCGCAGCAGCUGAAAGUUCCGGAUGCAGCGGCCAAGAAGCGGAGCAAGAAGUCCGGCCAAAGAAGCGAUGGAGGGUCCGACCUGGGAGCUGGCUCUGACGUGGAUCCGAUUGAGAAGCAGUUGGAAGAGGAGCAACUCGCCAAGGAGAAGGCCUUUGCAAAGCAGAUGGCGGCGCGGAAGAAGCUACUUGCUCGGCAGAAGGCGUGGAAGGAAGAACAGCAGAGGCAAGAACAGGAGAUGCGUGAGCUGGAACUCCAGGUUCAACGCGAAAUGGAGGAGCAGCAGUUGGAGCACGAACAGAAGUUACUGGACGCCCAACUGGCAGCAGAGCAGGGAAGCGAUUCGGAGGCAGUUUACGAGCAGCGUCAACCGAGUCAACGCGCUGAAAGGCCAAGAAAGCGCUGUUGGUGAAGCUUCGGAGGACCAUCCGAAGAAGAGAGUGAAGGAGUGGCUGAAGGAUCAGUCGGCGGCAGUCGUCAAGCCGUCGACCGCGGAUUUUCGGGGAGCGUACCCAAAAGGAGACGAACUAUUCGGAGCGGGAUGCUCGACGCAAGUUGGCAAGCCAAAGCCGAUGUCGAAAGUGCCGGUGAUCACGGAAUUCGAAGCUGGCACAAGUGAGGACAGCGACAGUGAUGGCGACAGCAGCAGCGACGAGUCGUUUAAAGACGUUCGUGCGGAGAGCAGCCGGCGUGGCAGUCUGCGGAGGAGCAGAGUUGUUGACGGGCCGGGGCCAAGAGUUGGCCGAAUCUACGAAGAGCAGCUAGAUGAUCGAGCGGAAAGCAGCCGGCAUAGCAGUCUGCGGAGAAGCAGAGGUGCUGAAGGGCCAGGGCCAAGCGUUGGUCGGAUCUCCAGGGAGCAACUAGCUGCUCGAAAAGCAGUGUCGCAACACCUUCCAAAGUUUCGGGGAGAAGCAGAAGUCUGGCCGCUGUUCAUUAGCAGCUUCGAAUACACGACGGCGGCGUGCGGAUUUUCAAAUCUGGAGAACCUGAAGCGGUUGCAGGACUGCUUACAAGGCGACGCACUCGAGGCAGUAAGAAGCAGGCUGGUUUUACCGGACUCAGUACCAGACGUGAUAACCGAUCUACGGAAUCUGUUCGGGAAGCCGGAGAAGCUGCUGAAGACGCUGCUGACGAAGGUGAGAAACGCUCCAGCGCCGAGAGCCGAUCGGCUGGAAACCUUCAUAAGUUUCGGCAUCACCGUAAAGCAAUUAUGUGAUCAUCUCGAAGCGGCACAGCUCAGCGACCACCUCAAUAACCCGAUGCUAGUGCAGGAGCUGGUCGACAAAUUGCCGCCGAGCUACAAGCUGGAUUGGGUCCGGUAUAAGCGCGGCAGAGUGGACAGUCCGCUGAGGAUGUUCACUCGAUUCACAACCGACAUCGUUUCCGACGUCUCCGAGGUGACGGAGUUCUCUACACUGUCGGUGAACGAGCGGGUGCGGCCUGGAAGAGAGAAUCCCCGGAAGAAGGAGUUUGUGCAUGUGCACGAAUCAGAGAAGAGGCAGAAUGAAGGUUCUCGCAGCGAGGUGACCAGCCGGCCAUGUUGGAUUUGUAGGCGAACGGAUCAUCUCAUCCGUAAUUGCGAUGAGUUUAGGAAAAUGAACAUCGCGGAGCGGCUACGAGAAGUCGAGAAGCAGAAACUCUGCGGAAUCUGCUUGAACAAACACAGCGGAAGUCGGUGUUCGUCGAAGAUCCGGUGUAUGAUGCGGAAUUGCCAGGGAUCUCAUCAUCCUUUGCUGCACCGGGUGGAAGAGUCAGUGCAGCUGCAAGAAGCGAAGUCAGACUGCAAGGUGAUUUUCCGGAUGAUGCAAGUGACACUUCACGUCGGCAAGCGGCAGUACGACACCGUCGCAUUUCUGGACGAAGGGUCGUCGGCGACGUUGGUGGACGACGCGGUGGCAAAGCGACUGAAGGCAGAAGGGACACUAGAGCCGCUGAUAGUCACGUGGACCGGCAACAUCAACCGGUUUGAGAACGAGUCCAGAAGCGUGGAGAUGAUGAUGUCGGCGAAGGGCUCAAAGGAGAAGUAUCCACUGUUCAACACGCGGACAGUAUCUGAGCUGCAGCUUCCCAAACAGAAGGUUCGGUUUACAGAGGUGGUGAAGCGGUACACACAUCUUGCUGGUGUGCCGGUGAAGGACUUUCCGUCCGGCGUACCGACGAUUCUCAUCGGGCUAGACAACCUGCAUCUUUUCGCACCGCUGGAGUCUCGUGUUGGGAAGCCGAACGAACCGAUCGCAGUUCGGUCGAAGAUGGGCUGGACGAUUUACGGCUCCGAGAAACGGAGGCCUACGGCGCAGACGUAUUUAAACCUGCACUCCGUCACACCGGUGAGCAAUCAGGACCUCCACGACCUGAUACGGGAGCAGUACGUGCUGGAGGAGGCGCCAACCGCAUCAUACGCCAUUCCAGAACCGGCGGAAGAAAAACGGGCUCGAGAAAUCCUCGAGUCGACAACGAAGCGAGUAGGCGAUCGUUUCGAAACAGGCUUGCUGUGGCGAAGCGACGAAAGGCGAUUUCCGGACAGUUACCCUAUGGCCGUCCGGCGGAUGAAAGCACUCGAUCGAAAACUGGAACGAAACCCAGCGCUGAAGGAGAACGUGUGUCGGCAGAUUGAGGACUAUCAGUCGAAGGGAUACUCGCACAAAGCUACCGAUGCUGAGUUGUCGGAGACGCCGCUGAAUGCGGUGUGGUAUCUACCGCUGAACGUUGUGGUGAAUCCACGGAAACCAGGCAAGGUGCGACUAGUAUGGGACGCGGCGGCAUCAGUGAACGGAACGUCGUUGAAUUCGGAGCUACUUAAGGGUCCGGACAUGCUGGUCCCUCUUCCCCGAGUCAUCUGCCAUUUUCGAGGGCGUCCGGUGGCCUUCGGCGGGGACAUCCAGGAAAUGUACCACCAAAUCCGCAUCAGAACGGAGGAUAAGCAAGCGCAGCGGUUUCUCUUCAGGAACAGUAGCGAGGAAGCUCCGCAGGUGUAUGUCAUGGACGUGGCAACCUUCGGCUCGACGUGCUCGCCAAGCUCAGCACAAUACGUGAAGAACUUGAACGCCGAGCAGUAUUCGGAACAGUAUCCAGAAGCGGCAGUAGCGAUAGUCAAGCGGCACUACGUUGACGAUUACUUCGACAGCGUGAACACAGUAGAGGAAGCGAUCCGGCGAGCCAACGAAGUGAAAUUCGUUCAUUCGUGUGGCGGGUUCCGAAUCAGGAACUGGGUGUCGAAUUCCGGAGAGUUCCUGGAGAAGCUUGGAGAGCGAAGUGGUGAGUCGGCAGUGCAUUUCAGCCUGGACAAGAGCACGGACUACGAGCGGGUGCUAGGAGUUGUAUGGGAUACGAUCCAAGACGUUUUCUGUUUCGCAAAGGCCUCGAAGACAGAACACUCGAAGGUACUACGAGGAGAAGAACGUCCGACGAAACGAAUUGUGCUCAGUAUAGUGAUGGCACAGUUUGAUCCGGUGGGUUUCCUCACGCCAGUCACCAUUCUGGGAAAAAUGCUGAUCCAAGACCUCUGGAGGACAGGCUGUCAGUGGGACGACGAAGUGGACGAAGCAUCCUUCAACAAGUGGAAACGGUGGACGAACAUUCUAGCGGAUGUGCACGCAUUCAGACUGCCACGCAGCUACUUCGGUCACGCUCGGUUGGAAGAGAUUAGCGACGUACAAUUGCACAUUUUUGCGGAUGCGAGCGAGACGGCGUAUGGAUGCGUAGCGUAUUUCCGAGCAAUAGUACGAGGAGAAGUGAUGUGCGCGCUGGUAAUGAGCAAAGCAAAGGUAGCACCGUUAAAGCAGCUGUCAAUUCCUCGUUUGGAACUUCUGGCAGCGGUUCUUGGGGCACGGAUGUCGCAGACGGUACGCGAGAACCACAACUUUGCCAUCACGAAGGUGGUGUUCUGGAUUGAUGCAGAGGUGGUGCUAUCAUGGAUCCGAUCCGAUCAGCGCCGCUAUAAGCAGUUCGUCGGAUUCCGCAUUGGAGAAAUCCUGAGCCUGACGAGACUGGCAGACUGGCGAUGGGUGCCAACAAGGCUGAACGUAGCGGACCAGCUGACGAAGUGGGGCAAGAAUCCGGAGAUACACCCGGACAGCCCGUGGGUGCGAGGACAGCAGUUCCUGUACGAGAGCGAGGAAGACUGGCCGAUGAAGAGUUUGCCGCCGGUGAACACAACGGAGGAACUACGAGUGCACCUGUUGUUGCACGAUGUGAAGGUCCCAGCGGUGCUUGUGGACGCGAACCGCUUCUCGAAGUGGACGGUCCUGGUGCGAACGAUGGCGUGUGUGCUACGAUUCGUAUCGAACUGUAAGCGGAGGAGGAAACGGCUUCCGAUUGAAACUCUGCGAGCGACGAGCAGUCAACUGAAGGUGCGGUUAUCGAAUGAAGGUGUGUCAGUUCGCGCACCCUUGAAGCAAGAGGAGUAUGAGAAGGCGGAACGGUGUCUGCUAAAGAUAGCACAGUCUGAAUGCUUCAUCGACGAGCUGAAGGUGCUGUCCAGGAACCAGUGUCGACCAGUAAGCCAGUGGAUGGCCAUCGAGAAGGCCAGCCCGCUAUACAAGCUGACUCCGAUGAUCGACGAAGACGGACUGAUACGGAUGGAGGGACGCGUCGAAAGAGCGGAAUUCCUACCGUUCGACCUCCGGUUUCCGGUCAUUCUUCCGGGCGACCACCAAAUUACGCGGCUGAUAGUUCAGCAUUAUCACGAGCUGUGUGGCCACGGAUACCGCCAGGCGGUGAAGAACGAAUUGCGACAGUUGUACCACAUUCCGCACGUAGAUGCAGUGGUCCGGAAGGUGUCGGCUUCCUGUGUAUGGUGCAAGGUACAUCGAUGUCGUCCGGAAACUCCAAGAAUGGCGGCACUGCCAGUGCAGCGACUGACGCCGAAUCUACGGCCGUUCAGCUACGUCGGAGUCGAUUACCUGGGGCCGUUCGACGUGACCAUAGGGCGCAGAACGGAGAAGAGGUGGAUCGCGCUGUUCACCUGCAUGGUAACACGCGCGGUGCAUUUGGAGGUGGCGUUUGGACUAACGACGCAAUCUUGUUUGAUGGCGAUACACCGGUUCAUCGGCCGCCGUGGCUGGCCGGUCGAGUUUUUUUCGGACAACGGGACGAAUCUGCGAGGAGCCAGCAAGGAAGUAGUGGAGUCUGUGCUGGGCAUCAGCGAUGACUGUGCAGACCAACUGACGAACGCGAGGACGAAGUGGACGUUCAACCCUCCGGCCGCACCACACAUGGGUGGCGUUUGGGAGCGGUUGGUACGUUCGGUGAAGGAAGCGCUCACCGCGCUCGAUGACGGAAGGCGAUUGACGGACGAGAUCCUGCAGACGGCAAUUGUGGAAGCUGAGGACAUCAUCAACUCCCGUCCACUGACAUACGUGUCGCAGGAGUCUGUAGAAGCAGAAGCACUCACUCCAAACCAUUUUCUGAGGGGUGCAUCUCCGAACCAGCCGUGUGUGACGCGGUUUCCUCCUCAACCAGCGGAGGCCCUUCGGGACGCGUUCCAGCGUUCGCAGCAGUUAGCCAGCGUAAUUUGGGAACGAUGGAUCAAGGAGUACGUGCCAUCGUUGAACCAGAGGACGAAGUGGUUCGGCGAAUCGAGGCCAUUGCGAGUUGGAGAGGUAGUGUACGUGGUCGAGGGUGCUAACCGGAAGUGCUGGGUCCGUGGAGUAGUUGAAGAGGUCAUCGCGUCCGGCGACGGAAGAAUCCGUCAAGCGUGGGUGCGUACCAGCACUGGAAGGUACAAGCGAGCAACAGUGAAGCUGGCCAGGAUGGAGAUAGACUGUGGUAACCCUGAGCCGGAUGAGGCCUCCGGGACAGAGUUACGGGCCGGGGAAUGUUCUGGCAGCACUGCAUGAGUGCCGGUUGCCACAAGAUAUGCGUUCGGCCGAUGAGGCAUUGGUAAGUGUCGUUUGACAGGUGUCAGAGUGACAGCAGAGAUGACAUGAGAAGGAGAGAGAGAGACAGAUAGCUGUCAAAGGUAGAAAGUAAAUAAAAACAAAAGAAAGGAAGAAAUUGAAUUAGAUUGAAGGUGCCAUUGCGAUUGUUGAUGAUAGGCAAAAUAAAGUUAGAAUAGAUUAACAGUUCGGAAGUUUGGUGAUUAAAAAGGAAGUUGAAAUUCGGUUGAAAUAGAGAAAGGUGCGCGAGUGAUUAGUAGACGAGAAACGAAUCAGGUUUGGUCAGACGAUCACAAGCACAUAUAUGUUCUCCGAGCCACGGGAAUAAAUUGAGGGAUUUGACAAGAUAGAGACCCGACGGGACAAUACAUACUGGACAGCAGACUGAGAAAACAGGUAAAUUACUUGAAAGAGUUGAAUGAAGUGAAAGUAAAUACAAGAUUGAUAACAGAUAUCGGAUACGCACGACGAGGACGAGACCGUCUACACAGUGGUCCAAACUGAAUUUAUUAAGGACAAAAUUUGUAAGUUUAAUUUUCGUAUAUUUGAUAUUGAUAUGGACAAAAAUAUAAAUGUAACAUUUCAAUAGGUGAUUGCGUCGCCUAAAAAGGAAGGUAGAAGAGAAGCCGUUAGAGGAAGAAAGACAAACUAAAAUUGUAAGUGUAUUUAUGCGAGUAAGAAAUGCUAAAUUGUAAGAUUUCACGAAACAUUAAAUUUUAUUACUUACAGUUUGAUCUGCCAUAACGUAAAACGGCUGAUUUUCAAAAACGGUUUGUUGAUCCGAAAUUCCGACCCGAACACUGGUUUUCCCGAAGUGUUGCCUCAUACCAGUGAAAAAUCGAGCAGUCUUGCCCGAUUUCCCGCUUUGUAGAGACGUUUUUGAAUGGAUUCGAACAAAAAAGGUUACUCAGGAUUACUCAGAGUUGCUCCGAAUUUCACAGUGUCUUGCCUCUAGACUACAACGGCAAAGGCCUUCUAUCUACUUGUUUUUUUUUGCGACAAAUUACAAAAUCCUUCCAUGAUGUCUAUGCAAUGAAGGCAGUCUACUGUGUAGUGGUUCGUAGUGUAUUGGAAUACGCUGUUCAAGUUUGGGCUCCGUAUUGCCAAGUUCAACGUAGUAGAGUUGAGCGCGUCCAACGAUCAUUAAUUACGGCGCCUGUCGUGGAAUGAUGCUGUGAGGUUAGGUACCCCCAUACGAAAAUAGGUGCAUGCUGUUGCAGUUGGAGACACUAGCAUCGAGAAGGGUAAUGCUGCAGAGACUGUUCUGUUUUAAUCUGCUGGCAGGGAACAUCGACUGCGGAGAGCUGCUUUUUCAAUUGAAUAUUCAUGCCCAAACUCGUCAUCUUCGGAAUCAUGCUCUCUUCUACCUACGCAUCGCACGCUUUAUGGACAUUUCAACCCGUUGCAUUUCUGCUGCAGGCUUUUCAGCGAAGUCAAUGACAAUUUUGAUUUUAAUAUUACAAAGACAACGUUUGGGAGCGAGCAAUGGCGCUUAAGCCUAGGCAUUAGGGCCAGGACACGGACUAAAUACCUGUGUCCCAUCCCAGGAAGCACCAAGGGCCAAGGGGUGACAUUAACCUUUUUAGCAUCGUCACCCCCACCGAUUUUCACCGUAUUUUACUUUUCAAUAAACUGAGCGGUUGGUACGAGAUGUCCCCGCUCAUUGUUUUCAUUGUUGAAUCAAAAACGCUGCACAGUAGGCCUGGCCGCUUUAAUGAUUGUAAUGCAUCUUCGAUGUACUGAAAUCAUUAAUAAUGACAAGAAAAAUGAUGGAAGUAGUCGUUUCCCUCAUUUUCCAGGAUUCUUUCAAUGAUUGGCUGUGUAUGUGUAGACUAGACUAGACUAGACUAAUAUUACAAAGACAACGUUUGAAAAUAGGAUAAGGAAUUAGGUUAAGUAUCAGUCUGUACAACUAGUUAGGUUGAAGAUGGUGAAUAAAUAAAUUAAAUUAAAUUAAAAAAGGUCCAUUUUUACGGACGAACGUGAGAGGAUUGAAAGGUGUAAGCAGCACUUCGACAAACACCUGAAUGGUGCAAAAAAAUGCAGGAACUGUGGAACAAGCAGUGGAAAAAAUGACUAUCAGCACGACGGAUGAGAUGGCCAACCAACUCCCUCACUGCUGGAAAGGAUAAUAUACUGCCCCGCUUCGCAUGUCACUCCCAUGUUGAUUUUAAAAGUGCCUACGUAUUGCACUAUAACUUCAAUUGUUUAAAAAAAAAUGUAUUCAAUUCAUCUAUAAACAUUUCAUUGCACAUUGAGCUGUGAAAUGAAGCGAGAAAAACAUCAAAUUUGUUUUAAAUGAGCUCGUGAGAGACAAAAAUAUUAUUCGCAUUAGAAACAACAUGGGACUGACAUGCCAAGAGAGGCAGUACAGCAGCUGCACUCAUUGAGAUAUGUCCGGAAAAGUUUACCACUUUUUGUGGGGUGUGAACAACGAUAGUGUCAUUCCCCUUGCUUGCCCUUCCCCUAGCAAGUAUCAGUGACAUCAAGCAUCAUGCCGAGGUUGUCAGUGUGAUGCUGGCUCAUUGAGGAGUGGAGCUUUGGCGGAGGAAGUCGCCUUAAUCGUGAGUCCUGUACAAUGCCAAGUGAUUCUACUUUAGUUUGCUAAGAUGGCAGGGAAUGGAUUGUACCGGUGAGUUACGCGAUAGUCACACUUGUCACCGGCUGAUUGUCAGGAUGUGGGAAACGGAACAAUUACCGCCAGAGCUUUACCGUAGGGCAAAUCUUCCAAAAAUGCCAUGUAUAUCAGAUUUAUACGCAUCACCUGUUCAUCGAUUUCAAGACGGCAUACGACCGUGCAGUGCUAUGGAAAAUCAUGGACGAGAACGACUUUUCCGGGAAGUUUACAAAGUUUACAAAAACAUUGACCUGUGGUCCCCUACGAUCACGCGAUAUGGACCCCGAUACCCGAGAAAGAUUUUCGAGGACUCGUAGUUUUCGAGCGACGCGUGCUAAGGGCGAUGUUGGGCGACGUGUUGCGCGAAUGCCGGAUGCAACCCUGCAAAGAUUUUGUUCGCUAGAAAUCCGGAUGCUAUAAAACUUGAGAGGUUGAGAGGUAGGACCAGGUAGGACGUUUCCAAAGCUGGAGAGAUGGUGCAGCGAGCUGAAUAUGUAGCGUAUUGUAUUAUUGUGAACUCAGUCUUGUCUAUGUAAAAAUGUUGAACUAAAUAAAUGAAAUGAAACCAUUGAGUUAGACCUACCAUCAGAUGAAGUGCAAGUCCAUUACUGAAAGUAAAAAUCACAUGACAAAUGCAUGUUUUCGAUUGCAGAGAGUUCAAGAUAUUCUCAAGCGUUCAAUUUGGUUUCACAAACAUCAUGCUUACGUACACAAUUCCACUGAACUGGAAGUUUUUGCUCUUUCGCCAAAAUAUUUGCAUUCCCUAAAGUGCACAAAAAAUCGAUGACAAUGCAAGUCAAUCCACCCCUCUAGCCCCUGGGAACCUACUCCCGAAAACAGGAAAAAAAAACACCAAAUCCGGCAAGUCAUAAAAACGCUUCUCCCGGUGAAGAUGGAACUUGUUUUCCAGAGCGCACAGGCCCAUCGUCAGCCAUCUCAGGGGAUACCGGUUCGAUUUGCGUAUCUGAUCGUAUAAAUACAUUCAGCAGCCACCGGCGCACGGUAAUCAGCGAGGCCACCGCACCACCCGAUAGGGUGUCACUGGGAUUGUUGGCCGGUUGGUUAGUGUGGUGAGGUUGCUUGCUUCGAAUCACGCCACUUUUGGGGGUCAGUAUUCGUUUGGCGGGUGCAAAAAUCUGCGCUGAACUCGCCAACAACAACUGAUCGCGGAUGAUGAUGCAGAGACACAACAACAGCUCGUCGAGCAGAAAAAAAACUAACCGGCAGGUUUCGAUUUAUUUGAUUAUGUUGAUGCGAUGGCGGCCGGCAGGUUAUUAGGCUGCGGGGACGUCGCGUCGUCGUCGUCAACCGGGCAAGAAACCGAUGGCACGUGGAGCUUUUUUUAUCGUCUCCUAAAAUGCUCCUUGGGCGCUGACUGGCGGUAACAUUUGGUAAACCCGAAUAACCUGUUCCGCCGGCUGGACAACGGUGGACACACUUUCGGCUAGAUGAAAUUUAUUCAUGGGGAGUGAUAAAAAAUCAUUUGCGUUUGAUAAUUUAUGCACUCGAUGGGUAGAUGGAUGUAAAUUCUUCGACUGUAGCUGUAGCUAUGGACGGACUUCUGAUAGAUUAAGGUGAGAAAGUAGUCUCCUAAAGAAUAAGAAAGGAAGCUGCUCUAGCAGUCUAGCUUGAACCGAUCGAAACUGAUAUCAGGCAGUUUGGAGACAUGGUGCGAACAAGAUUGAUGAGAUUAUCUGAAAAUACCAUGGAUUACAGAUUUGGAUAGUGGGCAGAUCACACAAACAUGGUAAACUCUCAGCUCAGUUGUUUUAAAUGGUGGAUCUCAUUUUCGACUCAAUCGUGACCAAAAAUAAUCGGUAUUACUUGGUUAAAUCUGGUUAUUUAAUGCUAAGCAAGGACAUCAGAUUAGCAAUUUUAAGACGAGAGGCUUGGCACUCGUUGGAUCAAUAUUUUUCACAGAAAGAAGCACAAAUUUGUAUAAUGAUCUGUAAUACCAUAAAGAGCAGUCAUUUUUUUUUACAAAUUGAAUUGAAUUUUGAGUACAUAGUGAGAUACGUACAGGGUCUCUACAUUUGUGAACCCCGUGUUUGCUUCUUCUUCUUUUUCUGUAUGGUUCUACGUUCCCACUAGAAGUUGGCCUGCCUCUCUUCAACCUGGUGUUCUUUGAGCACUUCCACAGUUAUUAAUUGAAGGGCUUUCUUUGCCUGCUAUUGCAUGAAUUUGUACAUUGUGAGACAAGGACAAUGAUACACUAUGCCCAGGGAGUCGGGAAAAUUCUCCCGACUGGAAUGGGAAUCGAAUCCGUCGUCUCCAGAUUGGCGAUCCAUAACCUUAGCCACUAGGUUAACUGGAAACCCCGUGUUUGCUACUUUCAGUAAAAAUGAAACGGCAAACUCGCGUGUCAUGCCUCGAGCAUGUGUGCUUGUCAACAACGCAAUCGUUGCUACAUUCGUCUGUGAACUAACUACUAGAGAUGUGCUGUCACAAUUGAUGUGCUUUCGGAAACCUCCACCACAGAGAAACAGACGUAACAAUUAGAACAAAUUUGAUUAAAAAACAUCGUCACGAAAACGUAAUCGCCCAAUGCUAAACAUGCCUUGUUUGGCCGAGCCACCACUAUGGUAGUAGCGAGCAAACGUCAAACAAGUGCAAAAACGAUGUCAGCGACGGAUAUGGUCAAUCGAUCAACUAUUGAACCGUUUAAUAGGUGGUCGAUGGGAAGCGAUCAGAGUGUGACGUCUUUUUUCCUGUGCCUUCACAGGGGUUCUAUUAUUCUGAAGAGAAGCGCUUUCUCAGUUUUGGAAAAUUAAUUACUUUCAAUGAAACCUUACAAAUGCUUCAAGAAAGCUCUUUAGUCUGCUGAACAAUUCGGCUUGAAAACCCCAAAUUGCCAUCAAAACGUAGAGCAUGUCAACAUCCUCCUCUGAUCACACUUCCAUCCUUCCAUAUUGAAACCAAUCCUGAUGACCUUACUCUACAUCUUCAACCGGCAUGUUGUUGUCAGGAUAUCCUUGGUACAUAUAUUUUUAUUUCUGGAAUCUUCCAUAACCGACUAAAAAAAUCUUCCCGCAACGUCUACUACAGAUAAACCUUGAUCAGCUCCUCGUUAUUCGUAAAUUUAUGUCAUUCGAGAAAUGGAUAAAAGAGUACAGUGAAAUCGGUGUACAUCGGCCAUUUUUCAACUUCGGAUACUCGAAGUCUUUCACAUAAUAUUGAAUGUUCAAUUUCCUUCUGGCAUUAUAUUUCAACUGGUAGAAAGUUGGCCGAGGUGUUGUUAAUCGUGCAACUUACAACGAAUCGACUGUAUAUCUUUCGUCCAGAGUAAGCCAGAGCCAGACAGUCAACCAGCUGAGUGCCGCUCAUUUGCCUACAUUAUCGAUAAAAACCGGUCGCUCUGGUGGAAUAUUUUCGAGAUGGGCACAAAAAGGGGAAAGUGUUCCAGAACGUUCCGAUCCAGCUUUCUUCGGUAAUUUCUCCUCCUGCUCGUGCAUUAGCUUAGUGGAUGCAUCGGAGUGGCUCAGGCUUGUAAGGAAAAUGCACAAAAGCAAAGGAAUUGUUAAUCAGUUUUCCUAUGAGAAAUCUGUCAAACUACUGUCACGUGUUCAUUGUUUUAAGGUCUUAUUCCUCUUGGAGUUCUUUAUGGGAUUUCUCCAAGAUUUUCUUUUGGGAUUGCUGUAGGAAUAUCUUCUGGGGUUCCCUUAGAUUUUUUUUUCUGAAAUUCUUCCUUCUGAUCCCAUUCCCAUCUGUCGUAAUGCAAUUCCUCUAGGACAUUUGUGUAGGAAUUUCCGCUAGUUUUUGUUUUAUGAAAUUCCUUAUGAAGUUCCGCGAUGAAUAUUUCCAACAAUUUCUUAAGGAAUUCCUCAAGUAGUUUUGUAAGGAAUUCCCCCAGAAUUUUUUAUGAAUUUUCAUCAAUAGUUUCCUCCAGGGUUACAUUUCUUCUGGAAUCCCAGAACAAAAAAACUACUGGAGAUAUUACUGAAGUCUUCUACAGAAAAUCAGGAGGGCCUAUUACGAGACAUAAAAAAAAUCCUGCAGGAAUCUCGGAAGGUAUUCUCGGAGGGAAUUUCGGAAACAAGCUCUGGAAGAUUCCCGGAACUCCUGGAGGAACCACGGAAGCAAUUCCUCAAGAUCUUCCUUUAAGAAUCGGAGAAGGAAUCAUGGAAAGGACUUCUAAAAAAAUCCCAUUUGCAAACAUUUUUUUUAGAAAAUUCAGAAGAAACUCCUGGAAUAAUCUAAAAGAAAACUUCUGAAAAAGAAAUUCCAAGAGAAAUCAUGAAACUAAUUUCUGGAAAGGCCACGAAAUGGCGGAAUUUUCAUAAGAAAUUCUUGGAGGAAUUUCAGAUGGAAUCUCUUGGGCAUUGGCGUGGCCAGCUGACUCAAAGAGAACUUCUGAAGGAAUCCUACAUUAACCCCAGAAAGAAUCUCAUAAGGAACGCCUUGAGGGAUCCUCAACUUCUAGAGGAAUCGUGGAAAAAAAUUCUGGAGUAAUCACGGAAGAAAUUCCAGAGAAAUCCCUGAAGUAAUUCGUGAGGAAUCCUUCAAGGAGUUCCUAGAGCAAGUCAUUAAUCAGCACACUUUCCGACCCACCCCAUAUUUUGAAUGCAGUCAUACAACAAAUAAUUAUUAAGUAUUUAAUCUAUGAUGCUACCAAUGGAAAGCUGACGAAUUUGUCUUAAAAUUGAAUCAUUAACAACAAGUCCACGAAAUGUAAAUGACUUAGAAAAAUAUACCUUGGCAACCGUGGCGUGCAGUUCUCUAUGGAGUUUGACACUGGGUCAACAUGGUCGGUUUUUUUUGCAACAAAGCUUUUUCGAUUCUUUGUGGCGUCCAAAACAAUUGGUUUCUUUAACGGUGUUGAGAUAAUUCCAUAUUCUGAAUCUGCAUGCAAAACUGAGCCGAAAUCAAAAUUUUCAUGAAUCUCGGUGCUUGGGAACCUAUUUAAAAUUCAAUUUGAAGUUUGUAUGGGAGCGAUUUGUCGAAUCACCCCUCGUCGCAUUUUGUACUGGGUGGAGCUGUCAAACAGUUACCCAGCUGUCAAAAGGUGAUUUCAAAAAAUCUUUUUGAAAUUGAUUUUAGGUAUCAAAAUAAAGUUCAGUUGAAAAUCAGUUGAAAAAACAUUUUUUCUAAUCCAUUAGUAUACGUUGAAUAGUGUGGUUUUUUUUGGUCACUGGAUUCGAAGGUCGGUUCGACACCCUACCCUAUUUCAAAUGCCUUUUACAACGAACCUCGUAAAUUUGAGUCUCCUUGCUAUCACUUUUCCACAAACCACCUUGUUUUUGAUGCGACAUUUUGUUAUCAUCGUUGUAAAAAGAGAGUAAAGACUGAAGAUGAUGGCACGGUAAAGGCUGGGUAAUCCGCACAAUACAGAUCCCUUUGAGAUCACUACCCAAGUAACCAAAAGUUCUACGGCUGUUCGGGCUCGAAAGAAGUUGAUCAUCAAUAUUAAUUUCUAUUCCCGAUCAGCCUAGAUAGCCGUGUAGUGUCGGUAGCAGUUCCUUCAACUGGCUAAGAAUAACACUACGGACCGUCUGUUCCGGUGGUAAGAGUCCACUAACAGGUGACCCCUAAUUCAUGGUGUCAAGCGGCUUAAUGCGUACCGUGCCUAGGAAUGAAUGGUUAGGGGGGUCUAAUAAAAACCUAGCCGCUAACGGUGCCUGUGGAGUACCAGGGCACCCUCCACAGUAUUUUUGCCCUUACUGUGUUAAACGGAGCAAUGACGCAGUGGACCUAAUUUGUCUCCGGGAUAAUCGGCUACUUUUCUUAAGUCUCAAUUCCGAGGCUUAACAAAAGUGGGUAAAUGUAUAUUUUCAUGACUGGAAUCAAGUUUGUACAGGUAAACCUUCAUCACGCAAAAGGUGCUUCUGCUGUGUUGAGUCGAAGGUUUAAAAAAGAAGGGCUGGAAGUGGCGCUAAUUCAAGAGCCAUGGUCCAAUAAACGAAAGAUUCUUGGUGUUCUGACACAAAAUAGUAAACUAUUUUAUGAUGAGCAACAAGAUUCUCCCAGAACUGCUGUCCUAGUACGUAAAACGUUAAAAUGUUAUCCUAUUACAGAGUUUAUCAGAAAGGACAUUGUUGCGGUCAUGGUAGAGGUACCAACCACUAGGGGUAAAACUGAGAUCGCUGUGGCUUCAGCUUACUUUCCUGGUGAUGUUCCUGAGGUACCUCCUCCUGAGAUCGCAUCAUUUGUUCAAUUCUGUAAAGAAAACAACAAAUCGUUCAUCAUUGGCUGUGACGCCAAUGCGCAUCACACGGUUUGGGGUAGUACGGAUAUUAACGGUCGAGGUGAGUCACUAUUAGAGUAUCUGUCUUCGAACAAUAUAGACAUUUGUAAUAAUGGUGAUAAACCUACUUUCUUAAAUGCAAUCAGACAAGAGGUCUUGGAUCUAACACUGUGCAACGCUGCAAUCUUUGACAAGAUCACAAACUGGCACGUGUCAGAUGAGAUUUCUCUAUCUGAUCAUAAACACAUAAUCUUCAAUUGGAGCGGUGGAGAUUAUUCUAGAACUGCAUUUAGAAAUCCCAGGAAGACAAACUGGGAUCAAUAUGUGGAAUUGUUGAAUUCGCAUUCAUUUACAAUGGAGGAAACUAUCGAUUCAACCCAAAAGUUGGAAUCAUUUUCUCAAAGAGUAAAUGAAAGUAUCAUCAAUUCCUUUAACAGCAGUUGUCCCACCAUACAAUCGUCUUCUACUAGAGACGUGCCAUGGUGGAACUUUAAACUGGAUCGCCUAAGAAAAUUUUCUCGUAAAAUGUUCAAUAGAGCGAAACAAACGGGAGAUUGGACUCAGUAUAGGAAAGCCCUGACUGAGUACAACAACGAAAUUCGAAAAUCUAAAAGAAAAUCUUGGGUGCUGACAUGUGAAAACAUAAACAGUACUCCUGUAGUUGCUAGACUACAAAAAACGCUUGCAAAAGAUCAUGCAAAUGAAUUGGGAAAUCUGAAGCGUGACGAUGGAGCUUUUACCAAAACUCCUCGUGAAACUUUGGAUUUAAUGAUGGAAACCCAUUUUCCAGGUUCGGUUCUAAGUGUGGAUUCCAAUGAUACUAUAUCUCUGGAAGGUGAAGGAUGUCCUAGUAUAAACUCAAUGGAGUCAAAUAGUACAGUAAACACCGCCUCAGAUUUAGCUGAUGAAAUCUUCACGAAGGCCAGAGUGGAAAAUGCGAUAAGAUCUUUUCAGCCUUUUAAAUCUGCAGGAGUUGAUGGGAUAUUUCCAGCACUGAUUCAAAACGGAGAAACGGUGUUGGUUCCAUCACUAAUUGAGAUGUUCAAGGCUAGUUUGAGAUUGAAUUUCGUUCCAUCAAAAUGGAGACUUGUAAAAGUUAUCUUUAUCCCGAAAAAGGGGAAACGAGAUAAAACGCAUCCGAAAGCAUAUAGACCAAUUAGUCUUUCUUCAGUUUUGUUGAAGACUAUGGAAAAGGUUUUGAAGGAUUUUAUCAAUUCUUCUUACAUAAAAGAGCAUCCCCUGUCUGACUUCCAGUUUGCUUAUCAAUCUGGUAAGUCAACGGUUACGGCACUUCACUCGCUAGUAACAAAGGUGGAAAAAACGUUUUCAGCAAAAGAAAUAGCUCUAUGCGCCUUUUUAGAUAUAGAAGGAGCAUUUGAUAAUGCCUCCUAUUCAUCUAUGAAGCGUGCCAUGGAGAAUAAAAACUUCGACCAAUGUAUCAUACAUUGGAUUCAUA